GAACAGGGGUAGAAAAUGUUUUUUAAUUUGAAUUGCUUCAGUGAAAUCCUAGAUCUAUCCAGGUUAACAAGGAAUCAGGUCUCUUGUCCAUAAUGAGUUAGUGGAGUUUGUUAGAAGUUGUUCAAAUUAUUAUUAGAAAAGUUUAGAAUAUGAAUCAGUCUACCUACAAACAAAUUAUUGAAAUGUUCAAGUCAAUCAAUUUAUUAAGUCCAUGUUUACUAGCUAAACUGAGCAUUGGGUUGGCCAUCUGUCUCCUCGGUGAGUGAUCUUCGUGAUGACUUGUCUCUCCAACCCUCGUCUCCAUGGUAGGUCCGCCCUCAUCUUUGGACAAAGCGUGGUAUGAUUGACAUACUGACUGCCCACAUAUUGUAUGCUCCGCUCACUUGGUAGAAACAUGGAACAUGUACAUUAUUUAAUCCAUAUAGGAAAUCAGAAUCACACAUUUUUCCUAUCUUAGUGAAAAUGUAUUUUGACGUCAUGUCUUGUUUAAAACAACAGACUUUGCCUCCUAUGACCAGCUUCUAGGAUUCUACAUCUUUAAUACAUUAAAUAAGCACAGAAUCACAAGAAUAAAUAUAACCGCAAGCGGUGAUUAAUGGGGUCCGAGCAAAAUGAAAAGUCAAGAACAGUAAUGGAAGAUGUAUAAAUAUGACAUAAUAAUAAAGGAAAGAUGUUGAUAUUCCCCUUAAUGCCAUACUGUGCCUCUGCUUUCAGGUGACUGGGCUGCAGAGCAAUGGCAAUAUCAUGAUCAGCUUGUUGAUAAUUGUCUAAUCGGGAUUCAAACUAUUGAUCACCAGUACAAGGCAUUAUCCCAUUGAGCCACUGACAAACCUGAAAUGUAGCUUCAUUCACAUGCUGAAAAUGUCUAUCGAUAAGCAUUCAACAUCCAGAAAACUCCAAGCAAACAUUUCUCAAAUGAAUUAAGGGCUUUCUUAAAAGCAAAUACCUGAAAAAUCUAUGAGAUUCUGUGGAAAUAAAAAUUUGUUGUCAAGAACUCUAACAGAAGAAAUAUAAUUUUUUUAUACAAUAACAAAAUGGUCAUAAAAAUGGGCUUACUGCUCCAACUUUAUUGGCCAAUAUUUCUCAAAUGGAACUAAGCAAGCUGAUAAUUUUUGUGAGGCUUGGUUUUAAGAUUUUAUGUGGCGAUUUUGGUGAAUUUUGGAUUAUUUUUGUAGCCGUGAAUCUUUUUUUUCAUGUUUAGCUUUAAUAUGAAAUUGUGGGAAAAGCAUACAUUUUUAGGACAUAAGAGCUAAAAAUGCGUCUGAUUCUAGAGAUUAAUAUUCUGAAAGAAUUUUGAGUCCAGGUCAAUCUGGUGAGGAGAAAUAAACCUAAAUCCAGAUUUUUUUUUACAAUAGAGCCACCUUUGGGUGCAGUAACACAAAUGUAGGUUUAUGGGUAGAGGGGGUUAUUGGUAACCAUACUUGAAAAUUUAAGAGUUUUCGACUUACGGUAUAGGCUGCAGUAUGACUUUUACAGAAUUUGAAAAAAAAGAAAACUUUACAGAAACAAUAUGGGCCAAGCAGCUUCGCUGCUCGGACCCCUAACUAGUCAUGUAUAAAACUUUGCCAUCCCGACGUUUCAAUGGAAGAGGUGGCUGUCCAUCAGAGAGCUGAGGUGCUGUGAUUGGCCAGAGGGGACGUUUGGCGAGGUUGAUGUCACUGCAUGCUGGGCACCAGUAUUGUCUGGCCCCACAAAGACGGAGGAAGAGGAAGAGAUGUAGGCAGGGAAACGGUUGCUAGGCAGCAUAUUGUUGCAAGGCAUCAUGUUUCUUGGCAUGCUGCUGUUGCUUGGCAUCAUGUUGUUGUUGCCAGGCAUCAUAUUGCUCUGAAGGAAGCUGGUGGCUUCGCAGGGCAAGGCUCGGAUUGAGGGAACAACUCCUCCUGUAGGGCACACAAGGUCACACACAUGAACACACGACAGGGAUGUCCUCACACACCAUAAACACACGACAGGGAGGUCCUCACACACCAUAAAAUCACACUACAGGGAGGUCCUCACACACCAUAAACACACUACAGGGAGGUCCUCACACACCAUAAACACACAACAGGGAGGUCCUCAAACACCAUAAACACACGACAGGCAAGUCCACACAAAGCAUAAACACUUCCUGGAGGUCCUCACACACAACAUAAACACACCACAGGGAGGCGCACACACACACACACACACACACACACACACACACACACACACACACACACACACACACACACACACACACACACACACACACACACACACACAGUGUUACCAUCUCUACACCAUAAACACACUGUAUGUUAACAUCUAUUCUAAACCAUCCACACACUACCAUCUUUACUGUAACGGUCAUAAUGGUGGCACAUGGGGAGACCAAUAUUUUCUGAGGUGGUACCCGGUAUAAAAAGUUAAAAAGAGAACCACUGAUCUAACACUGUGU
ensembl:lncRNA